UACGUAGGGUGCAAGCGUUAAUCGGAAUUACUGGGCGUAAAGCGUGCGCAGGCGGUUUUGUAAGUCUGACGUGAAAUCCCCGGGCUCAACCUGGGAAUUGCGUUGGAGACUGCAAGGCUGGAGUCUGGCAGAGGGGGUAGAAUUCCACGUGUAGCAGUGAAAUGCGUAGAGAUGUGGAGGAACACCGAUGGCGCAAGGCAGCCCCCUGGGUCAAGACUGACGCUCAUGCACGAAAGGCGUGGGGAGCAAACGAGGAU
rnacentral:rRNA from 1 species